AUGGUAGAAGAGGAUAUACCAAAAACUGCAUUCACUACCCACAUGGGACUGUUUGAAUUUCUAGUUAUGUCCUUUGGACUAACUAAUGGCCCUCCAUCAUUCCAGGCAUUGAUGAACUUGUUGUUUGGCCAUCUCAAGUUUGUUGUGGUUUUCUUUCAUGAUAUCUUGGUGUUCAAUUUCUCUCUGGAAGAGCACAAGGACCACUUAAAGCAGGUGUUUGAUAUAUUGCAAACAAACAAACUAUAUGCAAAAAUGGAAAAGUGCUCUUUUGGACAGCAGGAGAUUGAAUAUUUGGGUCAUGUUAUUAAUGCAGAGGGAGUCUCUACUGACCCAUCUAAGAUACAAUCCAUUAGAUAUUGA
rnacentral:rRNA from 1 species